rnacentral:tRNA from 2 species
CGGGGCGUAGCUCAGCUUGGCUAGAGCGCUUGAAUGGGGUUCAAGAGGUCGCAGGUUCAAAUCCUGUCGCCCCGACCA